UACGGAGGGUGCAAGCGUUAUCCGGAUUCACUGGGUUUAAAGGGUGCGUAGGUGGGCAGGUAAGUCCGUGGUGAAAUCCCUGAGCUUAACUCGGGAACUGCCAUGGAUACUAUUUGUCUUGAAUAUUGUGGAGGUAAGCGGAAUAUGUCAUGUAGCGGUGAAAUGCUUAGAUAUGACAUAGAACACCAAUUGCGAAGGCAGCUGGCUACACAAAUAUUGACACUGAUGCACGAAAGCGUGGGGAUCAAACAGG
rnacentral:rRNA from 1 species